rnacentral:rRNA from 1 species
GAUGAACGCUGGCGGCGUGCCUAAUACAUGCGAGUCGAGCGAACGGACGAGAAGCUUGCUUUUCUGAUGUUAGCGGCGGACGGGUGAGUAACACGUGGAUAACCUACCUAUAAGACUGGGAUAACUUCGGGAAACCGGAGCUAAUACCGGAUAAUAUUUUGAACCGCAUGGUUCAAAAGUGAAAGACGGUCUUGCUGUCACUUAUAGAUGGAUCCGCGCUGCAUUAGCUAGUUGGUAAGGUAACGGCUUACCAAGGCAACGAUGCAUAGCCGACCUGAGAGGGUGAUCGGCCACACUGGAACUGAGACACGGUCCAGACUCCUACGGGAGGCAGCAGUAGGGAAUCGUCCGCAAUGGGCGAAAGCCUGACGGAGCAACGCCGCGUGAGUGAUGAAGGUCUUCGGAUCCUAAAACUCUGUUAUUAGGGAAGAACAUAUGUGUAAGUAACUGUGCACAUCUUGACGGUACCUAAUCAGAAAGCCACGGCUAACUACGUG